UUCAAGUUGCUUGGAAUAUUUCAGGUAAAUGUGGCCAGAUGUUACUCACAGGUAUUCUGUGAGCACAUCCUGUGGUUCACUCUGAAAAAUGGAUUCUGUGGCUGUAUAAAUUAGGUGAAGCACAGGAAAUGUUGAACGACCACGCGUCAAGAGGAGCACAGAUGCUCUUCGGGAAACUUGGGACCAGUUGAGAAAUGCUGAAAAUCCAGCCUCUUUAUCUGUGGUUGAGGAAACUGACCCAGACAAAUUGUGACUUACCUAAGGUCAGAAUACUCAGUAUUGAGAAAGGAAGAUAAGGAGAGGAAAUGCCUUCCUGCCUAUUCUAACUCAGCUGGCCUCUCAAAUGGCUCUGGCCAUAUAUGAUAAUUCUUCACUCUUGUGUCUACUGUUGGGCUUUUCCUGCAGAAGGUCAUUGCCUUUGACUCCAUCAAACAGCUCUUCUUGAGCCUUAUUCUGAUGAAGGCUAGUGACAGAGAGAAUACACUUGAGCACUUAUCACAGGCUGCCACUCUG